AUCGAUGAGAGACAAGUGGUUUGUAGUCAGCGACAUUAACCACUCGGCCACAGAGGCCUCUAUCAAUGAGAGAAAGUUAAAAAUAGAAAUGCUUGCUAAAUGCAUAUAAUUUCAGACAUAAGUGAAAUGUAUGUUACCUCUUGCACGUACCAAUGUUAUAAUUGUUUUCUUAAACAUAUUCAAUUACUAAAUGGCGUGGAAGGUAAAACAUUAAUUAUUUAAUGCCGUUUUAACAAUUGUACUAUUUGAAUGAAAUCAGCAAUAUUUAUUUCAAUUUAUCAGGGUAGGCGAGAUAAAUGUUAUCAUAGUGACCCUAAACAUAUUCAAAUAACUGUCGAGACUGUUCACAUUUAGUGUUUAUCCGUUAAUUACCAUUGUGUUAUACUUCAACACUGAUUACCGGCUACACAAGGGGCAGGAUGCAUCGCGUAAUACAAAACUCACGUUUUUGUUUGUUUAUUACAUUGCACGUGACAAAUACUUACAAACCUGUCGUUUUCAUGCACGUGAUUUCAAGUGAUCCUGAUUAAGCUGACACGCUGUUUCAAUGGAUAAAACAGAUAUGUAUACCAUGAUUAUAUUUAUUUAAUUCGCUUUUACCUUUUUAAUACAGAUCUUUUUUAUCUACGUAGAUCCACUUAUAAGCACCAUGAUAAUAUGGAUACAUAAAUAAAAGAGAGACCGACCAACAUAAAUUUCCAGUAUACAUUUACUUCUUAGAUCACUAUGGUUAUAAAUAAAUGCAGGUGUGUAUGAUGCAACGGCUAUUCCAGUGACAAAUUAUUAUACAGCUACAUUUCUGUUGGCUAUGCUAUCUGCUAAACAUAAACGAUUAUCUAUGUCUUUCCAUGAGUACGGAAGUCUGUGGACAAUUAAACAGAUAUUCCGUUAGUAUAAUGAAAACGUUUACUUUUUAAAUGUUAUCUUUAUAGGACCAUCCCGGGACAGUAAUGUUUACCAUAGAUAUGUACAACAAACUACAAAGUCUGGUAAAUAUGAUGGAACAAGUUGAUCAGGUCGGGAAGGUAAUGACGAAGUUUAUGCAACAAUAUCCGGAUGGUGUUAAUCAGACACUCGUUAUUCGCAAGGAUCGCUUAUUCGAAAAAAAGCCAAAGUAUAUCUGUUGGAAAUUACUGGAACGAUCCUCCCCACCAAGACACAAACGGCCUUGGUAGCCUAGUGGUAGAGCGUCCACUUCGAGUGGGAGGUCAUGGUUUUUUUCUUCUUCACCAUUUCAGAUCCUCACCACCAAGACACAUACCACCUCGGUAGCCUAGUGUUUGAGUGUCCGCUACGAGUGCGGGAGGUCGUGGGUUCGAUCCCCAGCCGCGUCAAACCAAAGACGUAAAAACGGUAUUAGUAGCUUCC
rnacentral:lncRNA from 1 species